UAACCCAGAGGUCGAUGGAUCGAA
rnacentral:piRNA from 4 species